CAAAACUUAGAAGAAGAAGAAGAAGAAGAAGCAAAAAUGAGAAACCAUUGCUUAGAACU
rnacentral:sRNA from 1 species